CAGGGCAGUUCUUCCAAAAAAUGAUAAGAGAUAAGAGUUCUUCCAAAAGAUAACACAAUUUUUAUUUUAUCAGCGUGACCAACCCAGAAACACCAAAAUAUAAAAUCACAUUCUAUCAGUCUGCCAAUUCUAUUAGAAUAAAAGUAACUAAAAUAUAACUAACGUUUAUCAGAGUUAACUGUUAUCUCUAGAACUAAACGGCAAUAAUUCAAAUGAUAAAAAAAAAUAACCGUGUUAAAAUAUAUUAUAUUUUCUUAAAUAGUACACAUUUUUACGAUACAUUUAUAAUGACAAAAAACCAACUAGUUCAUAUGACGACAACGAUAAUUAUUGUAUGAUGGUAGUUGUCUGAAGUCAUAAAAAGCUUAUCGGUAUGCUUAUUCAUUAGAGCGGUUCGAUUACUGAAACUAUCUCUAGUCUGAUUAAGUGUGGUAACAGUUUUAAGAUGAGUCAAAGAUUCUGGUUGAACAGUUCUCCAUCGACACUAACUGGAAGAAAUAAUUGUUUUAUCAUUUGUCUAAAUAGAUUAGCUAGAAUGUGACCAGAGGAAGAUUAAAUGGACAUAUCAUAUAUUUCUCCAUGGACACUGUAAUCCAUAGACGGAUUUUUGACACUAUAUUUGAAUAUUUGUUGUUGAAGUUAAUUGGAUUUUGUGCAAAACCCCUGGAAGAAUAUUCUGUAUCAGACUAACAUUAUAAAAACCACCCAGUAUUUCUGUUUACCUGCUGUUAGACAUCGUAGUAUCACCUCCAAUCUUUUUAUAUUUUGUUUAAUUUUAUUUAAAAAAGUCUCAUUAUAAUUUAUUAUUAAUCAACUGUAAUUCAGUUGUUUAUUUAUUGAAUAACUUAUUAUCCUGUCUUCAACGUCCAUAUAAACUGUACUGUAUUUAUGACCACUACACUGAUAUCUCAUUUGGCUAAAUAUUUUUAAUUUUCAACUACAUUAAAACAAAAUUAAGAUUGUUUAAAUUUUUUUUUUUUUUUGAAUACUUGUAUUAUUGUUUGAAUAUUUUUACACUUUAAGUGUCAAUACAAGUAUCUUUAGUUUAACGAUACUAACAGUAUAUUACUAUUACAAUUUUGACAAACAUAAUUAUUAGCCUACCAAAUAAAUUAUAAAUGUAGCUUCUGUAUUUGCUUAUUUAUUAAUAUUUACUUACCUUAAUAACAUUAAAAUAUUAAUUUAUUGUAAAAAUAUCUUGACCUAACUGAAAGAUUGAAAAUUUGUAAACUGUUGUGAAAUUAUGUUGAUGUUGUUAGGAAAAAUUGUGUAGUCAAAAUUUUGAAUACCUAGAUUAAAAAAAAAAACGGUACAAUUUUU